UACGGAGGAUGCAAGCGUUAUCCGGAAUGAUUGGGCGUAAAGCGUCCGUAGGUGGUUUUGUAAGUCUGUGGUUAAAGCGUGGGGCUCAACCCCAUAACGGCCAUGGAAACUACAAGACUUGAGUGAAGUAGGGGUAGAGGGAAUUCCCAGUGUAGCGGUGAAAUGCGUAGAGAUUGGGAAGAACACCGGUGGCGAAAGCGCUCUACUGGACUUAUACUGACACUGAGGGACGAAAGCUAGGGGAGCGAAAGGG
rnacentral:rRNA from 1 species